ACUUGUGAGAAUUAACUUCACAUGUAAUAGCUAAAUUGCAUCUUGAGAUUCACUUGUUAUCAGUUUGGUGUCUGUACAACACCAGAUUAUUACAGAUUUAACAGGUUCAGUCUGCUGGCAGAAAUGUAUUUGCUUGUUAGAGGACAACAGUGUAGGGGAGACGAGACAGUUGUAACGGGACGGUUGUAACACCUUGAAUUCCUCCAAUUAGAGACAACCUAGAGUGAUCACACUCACUGCGCAUGCUCAGUUAGUUUCCCUCCAUUUUUGCCAUAAAGGGAGCCACAUUAGAAUCUUCCUGACGGAGUUAUCUACAAAAGAUUGUUUUGGAGCAGAAAUCAGCCUAACAGAGAUUUGGAUGGGCCCACUGAUAAAUUCCACCUCCCCAUCAGGAUCCACACGCCGCCUACUACUAGGAGGAGCUUCCCAAUUGAUGUCCUCGUCCUCCCUCGUCCUUCUGCCCUGCCGUGGGACUGGAACAACCAUGAUGGCACGAGCAUAAGGCUGACCAGGCACUACUGUAUGUCCUCGUUGUUAACAUGAUAGUGAGGUCGGGACAGAGGAAGUGUAGGGUGGGGUGGCCUCUUCAAAAGGAUGGGCUUCUUACAGGAAAUGGGACCCACAGAGGGGAUGUUCUCCUCAAAGGUGAUGGGCCCCAUAUAGGGGAUAGACCCCUCAUAGGUGGGUAUGGGUAGGGGAUAGGGGAUGGGCUCGACACCUCAUGCUCACCACCAUCAUGCGCUUCAUUUGGUCGCCCGGGCCUGUUGUCGUUGUCCUCGUAAUCGCUGAGGUCUCUGCUGUAGUAGAGUCGGUGUAGGGAUAAAAAUACACAAUUGGAGGCAGAGAACAGGCAAAAUAGCGGUGUAGAAAUAUUGCAGUCGGUAAUCCACGUCUUGCGAGCUUCACCACCGUGACACAUCUGAUUUUUUAGAUUGACUAGGUCGACGUGUCACGUGAAAAAGUAAGGACACCCGCACAUUUAUUUGUACUAUAAAUGUCUAAAAACAACUUGCAGAUAAAUCACAGCAAGUGCAAAUUAUUAGAACAUGUUUACAAAGCAUUAUGAAGGAGGCUUGAAUUAUUUAAACUUCAGAUAUUUAGUUUGUUUGCUUUUAAUUGGUAAGUGAGAUAUAUCACCAUGAUGAGACAACCCAGUCUCACGGCAGUUCGUGUCAUAGUGUCAGGCACGGGGAUAAAAUAAACAGGUUUUAAUAACUUAAAAAGCACCAAACAGAGACUAGGACAAGACGACAACGACAGGACAGAACAUAGGAUUCCGCGUGGAUCAAGGCAACCCGGCUCAACUAAACAUGCCAGCAGCAGUGGACUCCUGAUUCAAAGGACCUCCUUAGGAGUGGAUAUUGGCCAGCUUCUGUCAGCAAUUCAAUGCUGUAUACACUGGACCAUCUGAGCGCCUUUCAGGAGCUCAAGGUCAUCGCUCCAGGAUUCUCCAGACAAGCCAUUGCAAAGCUGCUGGAGCAUCGGACUAAGUGUGCAGGAAGAAAUGGACAUAUCAACGGCGAUGCACUGCAGCGGAGCUUCUUGGAGUUUUCCUACGCUUCUUUUGAAGAAGACCAGCUCUGCUGUAGUGCUCCUGCCCAGCCUGCAUGCCGGAAAUGUUGGCUGUUUCCACCGAAGGGAACAGAAAGCUAUAUCGCUUUCACCGAAACACAAGACACAGGGAAGAGGCUCAUGUGAGGACUCCCAGUGAACAGCAGCGAGGGAGACUUCAAGGAGGGCUUCCAAAUUGGAUGAAGAUGGGAUGGAUGUUGCUGUCACCAUGGGUUCCUUCUGAAAGCCCUUAAAAUGUACAGGGGGGAGAUAUUUGCCUACCCCCUGUAUUUUCAGAAGGAGCUCAUGCCAGCCAAGGCAAAAUUCUUUGCUAUGGAUGUGGCUUGCAAAUAUUGGCCAUACUUGGAGAAAGUUGCUCAAGUCCUUCCUGCCCUUCAGGAGCUCACCGAAAUGAAACCCUUCCUCAGCAUAAUGCAUGCUCGAGCCCAUGCUACAAAGUGUGAGAUUAAAUGGAGUGGUAGGAACCAGGAAGGAGCAGGAACAACAGCCGGAGAGGAGGUGGAGCAAGUGAACAGCUACCUGUCACGUUGUGCCCUGACUACCAAAUAUACUGUAUGUCCAAAGCAGCAUGGGUGGACAUGGUUACUUUGCAUGCAGUGGGGUGGAACCACAAAAAAAAGUCUCUCUCUACAUCUGGCACUUUCCACAAGAUAUGUGAAGACACCCCAGAUACAUCUCGUGCCAGUCAAGGCGUGUGUAUGACCUCCCUACAACACCUGGGCAUGUUCCUGACUCCUGAACAGUCCGUGGUGGUCGUCUGCUCCAUCUCCCCCACUGUAGUGGUCGUCUGCUCCAUCUCCCCCACUGUAGUGGUCGUCUGCUCCAUCUCCCCCACUGUAGUGGUCGUCUGCUCCAUCUCUCCCUCUGUAGUGGUCGUCUGCUCCAUCUCCCCCUCUUUAGUGCUCAUCUGCUCCAACCGCAUGGUCCUCAACACCUCGCGGUUGCUUGCGUUCUCCAAUGGGUCACAGGGUGUGAGGUGCAGCAUAAUCAGCUGAUCAUCAUUGAUAUCCUGGGUCCAACCUGUGCAAGUUAAACAAGUCUUGUUUUACACACAUUUAUAAAAUAGAGGUUAACCAUGAACUUGAACUGUACAUAUUUUAAGUGUUAAUCUGUUUGAAUCAUAUAGUCAAAUUUUUCCUAACCAGAUUUGUGGGCACUUUAGAAUCCAGGGAAACUAUUGAUAGUCUACUGGAUGUACUCGAUAUCUGCAAAUCUAGAUUUAUUUGAUUUUCUGUGACUAAAACAAAUACGUCUUUUAUUCAGGAAAAAAACAGAGUGCUCAUAAUAUGUAUUCAAAAAAUGACACCAAGAGUAAUGUUUGUUUACAGACUGAGUCUGUAUUUAGUUCAGACUGGACUGUGUCGUGUACUAAAAAACUUUGGGCUUUAUGCCUCCAAGUUAGUAGUAGUGUGUGUGGUGUAUCCAGCCAACAAUUGAUGCCUUUCUUUUUCUUUGUGCUAUUUCCUUUAAUGGUCCCUUGCAUUGUGAGCUCUACAGUCAGCACUAUAUUGAGAUUGAUUACAAUUUGAUUCAUUGACUCAGUGACCAAAACAGACCUUAGCAGAUUUCAUGGAUCUAAUUAGUAUAUGUCACUACAAACAUUGCUUUGGUCAGCAUGCCUAAACAUUAAAAAUAUUGUUGUAUGUGGACUGAAAACAGAAAGGAAAUAUGGCUUCUACAAAAACCAUCCCAAACAUAAUAAUUCCAUAGUUGGCAGUAUGUUUAAUCCUAAUAUUGUUAUAACAUAUGUAGCGGCUAUCUUGCAUUGUUAAAAGCCGCCGAGAGGCUGAAGCAAGAACUCAAUGCAUUUGCGACCCUUAUGAAGUAUCAGUGAGGCAAACAGCUGUUAAUAGUCCCUUUUUAUUGCACAGACAGAUAUUUUUUCUUUCAAAAGUGUAUAUGAGUAUGGUCAAAAAAGAAUACAUCGUCCUGACUCACCCCCUCUCUCCACCACACUAAGUGAACAGGUGACUAAUAUUCCUAUUCCCAGGUAAUCCCGUGACCCUCCACCAUGAUCAUGUGACAUUAAUUUAACUCUUUCAUGUCCCUUUCAACAUAAAUGCACAUUAAAGUAACAAAUGUAAAAUGAAACAAUCUUAAACACUUGCUUACAAUCAAAAAAAUACACAAGGUUAGUGUCCACUUCUUUCCAGAUCAAUAACGGUUACAUUACAUGUCCUCAGAAGUCCCCCAUGCAGAAUUAUCCAUGUCUUAUUAAUCUACCCAAUCACAUAAUCAUAGUAGUUCGCUCCUCAUCCCCAAAUCUUGUGCACUUGCUUUCAAUACUUUUCAAUACCUCACAAUACUAUGCAGAUAAAAACAGUGGCAGUGGAGAGGUAGAGACAUUUUGAAGUCAGUUGUCUUACAAUUUGUAGUUUGCCAAAAUCUUACAAAAUGGUUUGAGUGCUGUUUGACUGUACAAGGCUAGAUAAAUACUUCAAUUGUUUUAAAAGAUCCAGUGUUGUGCUAACAAACUCUGUGUUGGACAUAAAAAUGGAAACCUCUCCCAAGUUUCUACUGUCAAGGAGGUUGAGAGUGAAAUUGACUGAAUUUAAGGUUUUUUUUUAGGGUUAAGCGAUCCCUUUAUGAUUUAAACACUGACAAAAUCUUUUGUGUUCUAAAAAAACAAGUGAAAAUACAGUGUGUGCAUCUCACCUUAACAAAUGUUUUCAUAAAGUAAGCCUAUCUUCUGAAGAUAGACCUGGGCAUAGGUGGGAAUGUGUGCAGCGAGGGGUUAAUAUUUCACACUUAUUUUCUUUUUCUUUUUUUUGUUCUUCUUUCCAAGAAGCAGCACUGGCUUGUAUCCAAUGGCAUGGAGUUUGUCAAGCUGUAAUGAAAUGACAACCUUGUGAAUUUGCUGUUUAAAGUAAUAGAAAAACAACAGCAAAAAUAACUAAAUAUUAAUUAUUUAGAAAAUAUAUAUCAUUCUUAAUGACAGCAUCCAGGUUAAUGCCAUUUAGGAUAUUUAACUUCAUGGUAAGUUUAGCUUUUGUAUACCAAGUAUGUGCAAACAGGAAAGGCUCAUAAACUAGAAGCAAAUUCCAACUCUUCUAUUUAGAAAAACAUUAAAAAGAUGAAUCUCACAACAUGAGGGUAAAAAGAGAAUUUUUUGCAACAUUAGUCGCUCGGGUUUAUCGCCUACAUUGAUAGGAUUGUGUAACCACUGUGCAAUUGGACAGUGACAAUCUAUAGAUUUAUUUUAAAAAAAUAAAUAAAUAAAGGCAGAAUCUUUGAGAUUAUAUGACCAAAUGGGUGAAUGCUGCACAUACAUUUACACUUGACGUGUGUACAUUGUAAAAUGCUUUAAUGAAUGUAGUAGUAUGAACACAGUCCGUUUGUUAUUUCUCGUUGAUAAGAAAGUUUGAUUAUUAUAUUUCACCUGUGAUUCUGUAAUAAUGCAUGCCUGUAUUUGUUAUGGACUCAGAAUUGCAUGCACGUGAUGUUCAUUCUAUUUAUCAGCAUAUUAUUUUGUAUAUUUUUAAUUACUCUAGUGGCUCAUGUAAACUUUAUUGUAUUAACAAAAACUACUUUAAGAAAUUGCACCUACCAUGAUAAUGGUGGCAUCCUUGAUGGAUGCACUGUUGUGGUUCUUCUUAUGACCAAACACUCCUUCCUCUCGCUUGUCAUCAAACCUCUGAAGCUUCUUCUUGAGGCUUCUUCAUUGUCAGACAUGUAGACAAAAACAGAAAAAAGGGAAAGAUUGAGAAAUUGAGAUAGAUAACAGAUAGACAUUGAAGAGAUAGAAAUAUAGAUGGACAGAGAGGUUAUGAGAGAGGGAUAGAAAAUGAUGAAGAAUGGAUAGAGGUUGACUCUUAAAAGUGCCUUUGGUUUUUGGAAAUCAGGUGUAUCUAUAGGGUGAAGGUGAAGUAUGACAGGAUCUGCAGGGAGAACAGAACAUGUUCAUUAUGUAGUGAAGGCUAGAUAUGUUGAAAAAAGGUUUAAAAUGUGUACCCCGAUAGUGAGAGAUACCAGUUUUCUUUAAAAUACUUAAUAAUUCAACAAAAUUCACGUUUUUCCCAUUUUCUGUAUGACUGCACAAAAGGCACGUCCUUUUCUCUUUUUUUUUGUACUGUUAAUAUGGAAACCGUUGGUCGGCCUUUAAUUCGUUGCUCUAACAUGUAAACCAUGUGAGACUAAUGGCAAAGAAAAGCAACAAUUAUAACAUUUAAAAAAUUUGAUCAUUACAUUCAAGUCUCGUGGCUUUACCUGGGAAGUGGAUUGAGCGCAAUGAAGUGAAUAUGGUUCAACAAUAAGUGACCAUCUUCAUACUAUUACAGUACAUUCUCUCUCCGACACUCUCACUGUCUUCCACUUCGAACUUGUCAGCUGACUGUUGGGGUUUUAUUUCUUAAACCAAUCAUAUUUUCGCCUCAAUCCUCUUGAACCAAAUGUGUCAUAGUUGUUCAAGUUUAAAGCUGUUCCUUAGAUGCUGUCAGUUGUCAUUUCAGGCAAAUCGACGUGACCCUCUUCCACCCCAUUCACCUCCAGUCGUCAUUGCAUUCAGCUCCCAUGGAUCCUUCCACUGAGCUCCACAUUCAUCCAGAUCUCAGCAUUGCUACUCAGCCCAGCAUCACCACCAUUGUCUAGACUCCAUGCCAAAGAAUAUUGGUUUCAACUUAUGCAUCUUGUCAGUAAAUUGUUAUGAUGACUCUUUAAGCUUUUAGUGAAUAAAUAUGCAUUUAGUGUAUUUUCAUUUGUAUUUUUGUCAAAGACCACAAAUGAACUACAAUAAACACUUGUAAAAUAUUA